rnacentral:rRNA from 1 species
CUGGGAGUGGGCUGCAAAAGAAGUAGGUAGUUUAACCUUCGGGGGGACGCUUACCACUUUGUG